GACGAACGCUGGCGGCGUGCUUAACACAUGCAAGUCGAACGAUGAAGAAAAGAAUCGAAGCUUCGGCAGAAAUUCAUUUCGGAUUAGUGGCAGACGGGUGAGUAACGCGUGAGCAACCUACCUCUUACAAAGGGAUAGCCUCGGGAAACCGGGAUUAAUACCAUAUAACAUUGUGACGAAGCAUUUCGAUGCAAUCAAAGCUACGGCGGUAAGAGAUGGGCUCGCGUCCCAUUAACCGGAUGGUGAGGUAGCGGCUCACCAUAGUGACGAUGGGUAACCGGCCUGAGAGGGUGAACGGUCACACUGGAACUGAGACACGGUCCAGACUCCUACGGGAGGCAGCAGUGGGGAAUAUUGCACAAUGGAGGGAACUCUGAUGCAGCGACGCCGCGUGAGUGAUGAAGGAAUUCGUUUCGUAAAACUCUGUUCUAUGGGAAGAAAAGGACUGUACCAUAGGAGAAAGCUCCGGCUAAAUACGUG
rnacentral:rRNA from 1 species